UAGGAUUUAUGUAGGAUUUGUCUAAGAUUUAUUUAGGAUUUCAUUAAGAUUCAUUAAGUUUAAUCUAGGAUUUAAGAUUUCAUUAGGAUUUUAUUAGGAUUUUUCUUAAGAUUUGAUUAAGGUUCAUUGAGGUUUUAAUUAACAUUUCUAUUAGAAUUUAACUUAAUAUUUAAUUAAAUUUUAUUAAAUUUUUAAUUAUGAUUAAAUUAGGAUUAAGUUAGAAU
rnacentral:lncRNA from 1 species